rnacentral:rRNA from 1 species
AGUGAACGCUGGCGGUAGGCCUAACACAUGCAAGUCGAACGGCAGCACAGUACGACCUUGCUCUUACGGGAGGCGUGUGGCGGAGGGGUGAGGAAUACAUCGGACUCUACUUUUUCGUGGGGGAUAACGUAGGGAAGCUUACGCUAAUACCGCAUACUACCUACGGGUGAAAGCAGGGCAUCUUCGGCCCUUGCCCUCUUGAAUGACCCGAUGUCGGAUUAGCUAGUUGGCGGGGUAAAGGCCCACCAAGGCGACGAUCCGUAGCUGGUCUGAGAGGAUGAUCAGCCACACUGGAACUGAGACACGGUCCAGACUCCUACGGGAGGCAGCAGUGGGGAAUAUUGGACAAUGGGCGCAAGCCUGAUCCAGCCAUACCGCGUGGGUGAAGAAGGCCUUCGGGUUGUAAAGCCCUUUUGUUGGGAAAGAAAAGCAGCAGGUUAAUACCCCGAUGUACUGACGGUACCCAAAGAAUAAGCACCGGCUAACUUCGUG